rnacentral:rRNA from 1 species
GCCAUAGAAGGUGAUAGCCCUGUAUCUGAAAGGGCCAUUUCAGUGAAGACGAGUAGGGCGGGGCACGUGAAACCCUGUCUGAACAUGGGGGGACCAUCCUCCAAGGCUAAAUACUACUGACCGACCGAUAGUGAACCAGUACCGUGAGGGAAAGGCGAAAAGAACCCCGGAGAGGGGAGUGAAAUAGAACCUGAAACCGUGUGCGUACAAGCAGUAGGAGCUCCGCAAGGAGUGACUGCGUACCUUUUGUAUAAUGGGUCAGCGACUUACUGUUCGUGGCAAGCUUAACCGUAUAGGGGAGGCGAAGGGAAACCGAGUCUGAUAAGGGCGCAUAGUCGCGGGCAGUAGACCCGAAACCGGGUGAUCUAGUCAUGCCCAGGGUGAAGGUGCGGUAACACGCACUGGAGGCCCGAACCCACUCCCGUUGCAAAGGUAGGGGAUGAGGUGUGAUUAGGAGUGAAAAGCUAAUCGAACCCGGAGAUAGCUGGUUCUCCUCGAAAGCUAUUUAGGUAGCGCCUCAUAUGUAUCCUCUCGGGGGUAGAGCACUGUUAUGGCUAGGGGGUCAUCGCGACUUACCAAACCAUUGCAAACUCCGAAUACCGAGACGGACUGUAUGGGAGACACACGGCGGGUGCUAACGUCCGUCGUGAAAAGGGAAACAACCCAGACCCACAGCUAAGGUCCCAAAUUCACUGCUAAGUGGAAAACCAUGUGGAAAGGCACAGACAGCCAGGAGGUUGGCUUAGAAGCAGCCACCCUUUAAAGAAAGCGUAAUAGCUCACUGGUCGAGUCGGUCUGCGGGGAAGAUUUAACGGGGCUAAGCAGUGAACCGAAGCUUGGGGUGCAUAACUUUGUUAUGCGCGGUAGAGGAGCGUUCCGUAAGCCGUUGAAGGUGGAUUGAGAAGUCUGCUGGAGGUAUCGGAAGUGCGAAUGCUGACAUGAGUAACGAUAAUGCGGGUGAAAAACCCGCACGCCGAAAGCCCAAGGUUUCCUUGCGCAACGUUAAUCGGCGCAGGGUGAGUCGGCCCCUAAGGCGAGGACGAAAGUCGUAGUCGAUGGGAAGCAGGUUAAUAUUCCUGCACCUCGCGUAAGUGCGAUGGAGGGACGGAGAAGGUUAGGUGUACCAGGCGUUGGUUGUCCUGGGGAAAGGCGGUAGGUUUGGAUCUUUGGCAAAUCCGGGAUCCU